GACGAACGCUGGCGGCGUGCUUAACACAUGCAAGUCGAACGGAAAGGCUCCAGCUUGCUGGAGUACUCGAGUGGCGAACGGGUGAGUAACACGUGGGUAAUCUGCCCUGCACUCUGGGAUAAGCCUGGGAAACUGGGUCUAAUACUGGAUAUGACCUUUCUCCUUAUGGGGUUUGGUGGGAAGUUUUUCGGUGUAGGAUGAGCCCGCGGCCUAUCAGCUUGUUGGUGGGGUGAUGGCCUACCAAGGCGACGACGGGUAGCCGGCCUGAGAGGGUGAUCGGCCACAUUGGGACUGAGAUACGGCCCAGACUCCUACGGGAGGCAGCAGUGGGGAAUAUUGCACAAUGGGCGGAAGCCUGAUGCAGCGACGCCGCGUGAGGGAUGACGGCCUUCGGGUUGUAAACCUCUUUCAGCAGGGACGAAGCGUAAGUGACGGUACCUGCAGAAGAAGCACCGGCUAACUAUGUG
rnacentral:rRNA from 1 species